CAAAUCAAACAUACAUAAUAUUAAUAUACCAAAGAUAAUAACAAAAUUAUAGCAUUAACGGUUUUUAACAAAUCUAACAAUAACCUUGUUAUUCGACAAUAAGAUUUAUUUUAGAAUUUCGGCUGUAUAAUCUAUAUUAUAUAUAUUUUUUUUAAGUACACCUACAUUUAAUAGUAUUUACAUCGAUAUUUAUACAUAUAUCCAAGGUUUUCGCCACAUAAAACCGACGUUUUUUUCGGUUAUAAUAACAAUAAUAAUAAUGAUAAUAGUAUUAAAAACUUUAAAAAAAAAAAAAAAAAACAAAAGAACAAAAACCUUUUUGAGGCACUUCGAUGAAAAACGGUAUACAGUUAUCCGUACAUAAUAGAUGAUAAUAUCGACUCGAAACCACUAUAUAAAAGUAUAAAACUCGACAAGUGUUAAUGUUAGAUUAUAAUAUGUACGAGUAGUUUGUGUGUCGGACAGCAUGUAUUCGAACGUGUUCUGGUGUGAGUAUAGAAAAAAACUGACGAAAAUACUAUGUGUAACGGAUUUUUCUUAUGAUCACGUCAUAACCGAAUGAGUAAACUAACCGAAUUAUUAUAAUGUAGUUAAGAAUAGUAAAACGGACCAAAACGGUUUUUGGCAUAGGGACGCGCGCGCGAUGUCUCCCCCACCACGAAAACGCGUCUCAAAGUCUUAAAUAGGUUUUUGUCGCGUAAAAAAAGUGUGGCGAUUCGUUUAAAUUUUUAUAUGGAAACGAUCAAAAAUACAUCGUCGCGUUACGGAUUAAAAUGCAUAAUAUUUUAUUAUUAGAGUACGGAUAUCAAUAUGCAAAAUGCAUUUUAUUUUUUUUCGAGUUGUCUCUGGUACGCUAUGAUGUAAUAAUUCAUUUCAACUAGACGAUUCGAUUCGUGUGUAACAUACAUUUGUUCCAAUAUCGUUCUUAAGUGACGAUUUUCAUUUUUCACUAUUAUUUUUUAUUAUUCAGUAUUUUUUUUUUUUUUUUACGGCGGGGGGAGAUUAUUGCGGUGAAAAGACUUUUUUGUCAAUUUGUCUAUAAUCAUUGAUACAUUUAGUACUGCGUCAUGGGCCCUAGCAAAAAAAUUUGUAUUUACCAUCACGUUGGAUACGAUUUUAUCAGUAGCGGAUUUGAAGCUCAUUUAAAGGGUCGGUGAACUAGUAUCCUAGGUACUGACUACACAGGUCAAUAUAGAAAGAAGACACUACGGUACUUUUUACGUUCAAAUGUACACCCUUUUCUUCUAGUUACGGUCUUGGAUACCUAUAUAUAAUUCAAGUAAUAAUAAAUACACGGGGUAAAUUGUUACUUUACCCCCCCCCUCAAUUAGCUAUUAAGUUUUAUAUAUGGUCGGAUUGAAUGCGCUAAUAGGGUGGGUUAUUGUCUCCGUCUUACAAACGUGUGACCUAGCAAAUUUGCAUUCAUACAGGGAAAAUAGAGAGAUAUAAUAUGAGUAUGUGAUUAGUAUAUCAUAAUUUAUUAACGCUUACAUCUAACGUUAAAGUUUAAAUAUUGAAAAAAUAAUGCCCACGUUACACAUUUAAUGUUCAUAUCUUUAAGUUUGAUUAUAGGUCAACUCGCUCUAAUAUUAAAACUAACAGCACAAAGUUGUCCCUACGAAACGUAAAUUUGCUGUCGUAGUUUCUAAAACGGAGACAGCACGUCAUGCGGGUAUCAUGUCCUCUUAAUUACGAAAAGUCCUCUAUACUUUUUAACAAUGGAAAUACUCAUUAUAUUACCUACCACUGUCGCGCACUGUGCAGGUCCUAUAUUAAUGCAAAUUUAUUGUUUUUAAUAAAUUAUUAUUAUACAAUGUUAUCAAUACAAAUAUUUACACGUCUGAACUUUAUCUCUUUCUUGGUGCACAU